rnacentral:misc_RNA from 1 species
UUAACUUAUUACAAUAUUACUCAGACAACACAAAAAUCAAGAGUUUAGGGUCCUCUGGCAGGCGCGGACCAGCCUAGGCCAGUGGUCAUAAGACGGGCCUGCCAAAGCAACAAAGGUAAUAUAGACAAAGGGUGGGAGAUCUACCCCGGAGGGCAAUUUCUCUGUAAUGAUCCUUCCGCAGGUUCACCUACGGAAA